rfam:Emmonsia sp. CAC-2015a strain CBS 136260 supercont2.3572, whole genome shotgun sequence.
GGGCGAUUGGUUUAGUGGUAUAAUACCCCCUUAGCAUCCAAAGAAACCUGCGUGGGGGUGGUCGGGAGUUCGAUUCUCCCAUCGUCCA